rnacentral:rRNA from 1 species
GACGAACGCUGGCGGCGUGCCUAAUACAUGCAAGUAGAACGCUGAAGGAGGAGCUUGCUUCUCUGGAUGAGUUGCGAACGGGUGAGUAACGCGUAGGUAACCUGCCUGGUAGCGGGGGAUAACUAUUGGAAACGAUAGCUAAUACCGCAUAAGAGUAGAUGUUGCAUGACAUUUGCUUAAAAGGUGCAAUUGCAUCACUACCAGAUGGACCUGCGUUGUAUUAGCUAGUUGGUGGGGUAACGGCUUACCAAGGCGACGAUACAUAGCCGACCUGAGAGGGUGAUCGGCCACACUGGGACUGAGACACGGCCCAGACUCCUACGGGAGGCAGCAGUAGGGAAUCUUCGGCAAUGGACGGAAGUCUGACCGAGCAACGCCGCGUGAGUGAAGAAGGGUUUCGGAUCGUAAAGCUCGGUUGUAAGAGAAGAACGAGUGUGAGAGUGGAAAGUUCACACUGUGACGGUAUCUUACCAGAAAGGGACGGCUAACUACGUG